ACUCAAAGGAAUUGACGGGGACCCGCACAAGCGGUGGAGCAUGUGGUUUAAUUCGAAGCAACGCGAAGAACCUUACCAGGUCUUGACAUCCUUCUGACCGAUCCUUAACCGGAUCUUUCCUUCGGGACAGAAGUGACAGGUGGUGCAUGGUUGUCGUCAGCUCGUGUCGUGAGAUGUUGGGUUAAGUCCCGCAACGAGCGCAACCCUUAUCUUUAGUAGCCAGCAGUUCGGCUGGGCACUCUAGAGAGACUGCCAGGGAUAACCUGGAGGAAGGUGGGGAUGACGUCAAAUCAUCAUGCCCCUUAUGAUCUGGGCUACACACGUGCUACAAUGGUGACAACAAAGUGAAGCAGCCUCGUGAGAGUGAGCAAAUCACAAAAAAGUCAUCUCAGUUCGGAUUGUAGUCUGCAACUCGACUACAUGAAGCUGGAAUCGCUAGUAAUCGCGAAUCAGAAUGUCGCGGUGAAUACGUUCCCGGGUCUUGUACACACCGCCCGU
rnacentral:rRNA from 1 species